rnacentral:sRNA from 1 species
UUUAGUCACUUUCACUGCAUU